UACGUAGGCAGCAAGCGUUGUUCGGAGUUACUGGGCGUAAAGGGUGUGUAGGCGGUUGGAUAAGUGUGGUGUGAAAUCUCCCGGCUUAACUGGGAGGGUGCGCUACAAACUGUCUGACUAGAGUGUGGGAUGGGUAAGUGGAAUUCCUGGUGUAGCGGUGAAAUGCGUAGAUAUCGGGAGGAACACCUGUGGCGAAAGCGGCGAUCUGGGAAGAUACUGACGCUGAGGUGCGAAAGCGUGGGGAGCAA
rnacentral:rRNA from 1 species